rfam:Enterococcus sp. 8G7_MSG3316 scaffold00001, whole genome shotgun sequence.
AGAGUGUUAUGAUGUUGGAAGAUCUCUUCCGAGUCUAGCUCAGCGCAUACACCUCGAUUUAUCGGGGUGUA